UACGAGCGGCCCAAACGUUAUUCGGAAUUACUGGGCUUAAAGAGUUCGUAGGCGGCGCAGAAAGUAGGGUGUGAAAGCCCUCGGCUCAACCGAGGAAUUGCGCUCUAAACUACUGUGCUUGAGGAAGCUAGAGGUGAGCGGAACUGAUGGUGGAGCGGUGAAAUGCGUUGAUAUCAUCAGGAACACCGGAGGCGAAGGCGGCUCACUGGGGCUUUUCUGACGCUGAGGAACGAAAGCGUGGGGAGCAAACAGG
rnacentral:rRNA from 1 species